rnacentral:lncRNA from 13 species
GGGACUGAUCCUAUCUGAUCACACUUACUGAGAUGUUUGAUGCGACCGGCCAGCCCCAGAUCUGUCAAGGGCAGAAGUGAAGGACACAACCUGGAAUGAGAAGCAUCGCAACCUGUAUUGCCAUAUAUAGGGGCCCUGAGGCCCGGGGGAACAGUAUUCUAGACGGACAGAGAGAAGAGAGAUGAAGCUACUAAAUAUCCUCUGCUUCUGCCUGGCUGUCCUCGCCUCCACUUGGGUUUCUGGGGCAUGAAGAGAAGGACUAGAAGGAUGUUAUCAGCAGUGGUGUAAAGUACUGAAGUAAAAAUACUAUAAAGUACUACUUAAGUAGUUUUUUUUGGGGUAUCUUUACUUUACUUUAUAUUUUUUUACAACUUUUACUUUUACUUCACAACAUUUCUAAAGAAAAUAAUGUAUUUUUUACUCCGUACAUUUCUCCUGACACCCAAAAGUACUUGUUACAUUUUGAAUGAUUAGCAGGAUUAGAAACAUUUUCUAAUUCACGCACUUAUCAAGAGAACAUCCCUGGUCGUCCCUGCAGCCUCUAAUCUGGCAGAUUCUCUAAACACAAACGCUUUGUUUGUAAAUUGUGUCUGAGAGUUGGAGUAUGACCCCUGGAUUUCCGUAAAAAUAAAAAUAAAUCACAAAUUGUGCUUAAUUUAAGUCAUUAGAAAUUAUUCAUACUUUACUUUUACCUUUAAUACUUAAGUACCUUCGCUUUCGACUCUGUCAAUCACUGUAUUCUUAUCGGCAGACUCAGUAGCCUCGGUUUUUCGGAUGACUGCCUUGCCUGGUUCACCAAUUACUUUGCAGACAGAGUUC